ACUGGCAUCAAAAGUGAGGAUGCCUACUCUGAUCCCAGCAACAAGGAGUAGAGUAAAGUCUCCAGUACUAACAGUGAUGAGAAAACUGAAGUUCAGGAAUUGUGAAUGAUCUCUUGCAUGACUGAGUCCCUGGAGUUGGUGGGAGUAAUCACGUAAUGAAAUCUACAUUUAAGGAAAUGCAUUUUGGCAGCG